rnacentral:rRNA from 1 species
GAUAAACGCUAGCGGCAGGCUUAACACAUGCAAGCCGAGGGGCAGCAUAGAUUGUAGCAAUACAAUUGGUGGCGACCGGCGCACGGGUGCGUAAAGCGCAUGCAAACUACCCGUCACGGGGGGAUCAUCCGGAGAAAUCUGGUCUAAUACCCCAUAACAUAUGGUUCGGCAUCGGAAUAUGUUGAAAUUUUCGGAGGUGACGGAUUGGCAUGCGUAGCAUUAGCUUGUUGGUGAGGUAACGGGUCACCAAGGGGGCGAAGCUUAGGGGGACUGAGAGGUGUUCCCCACACGCUGGUACUGAGACACGGACCAGACUCCAACGGGAGGCAGCAGUAAGGAAUAUUGGUCAAUGGGCGCAAGACUGAACCAGCGAUGCCGCGUGCAAGAUGACGGCGCUAUGAGUUGUAAACUGCUUGUGUACGAGGGUAAAGUGGGUUACGUGUAUCCGUUUGAGAGUAUCGUACGAAUAAGGAUCGGCUAACUCCGUGCCAGCCGCCGCGGUAA